UACGGGGGGGGCAAGCGUUGUUCGGAAUUACUGGGCGUAAAGGGUUCGUAGGUGGCUUGUUAAGUCAGACGUGAAAUCCCUCGGCUCAACCGGGGAACUGCGUCUGAGACUGAUGAGCUCGAGUGCAGGAGAGGAACGCGGAAUUCCAGGUGUAGCGGUGAAAUGCGUAGAUAUCGAGAGGAACACCGGUGGCGAAGGCGGCCAACUGGACGAGUACUGACGCUGAGACACGAAAGCGUGGGGAGCAAACAGG
rnacentral:rRNA from 1 species